GGUUAAGCGACUAAGCGUACACGGUGGAUGCCCUGGCAGUCAGAGGCGAUGAAGGACGUGCUAAUCUGCGAUAAGCGUCGGUGAGGUGAUAUGAACCGUUAUAACCGGCGAUUUCCGAAUGGGGAAACCCAGUGUGUUUCGACACACUAUCAUUAACUGAAUCCAUAGGUUAAUGAGGCGAACCGGGGGAACUGAAACAUCUAAGUACCCCGAGGAAAAGAAAUCAACCGAGAUUCCCCCAGUAGCGGCGAGCGAACGGGGAGCAGCCCAGAGCCUGAAUCAGUGUGUGUGUUAGUGGAAGCGUCUGGAAAGGCGCGCGAUACAGGGUGACAGCCCCGUACACAAAAAUGCACAUACUGUGAGCUCGAUGAGUAGGGCGGGACACGUGGUAUCCUGUCUGAAUAUGGGGGGACCAUCCUCCAAGGCUAAAUACUCCUGACUGACCGAUAGUGAACCAGUACCGUGAGGGAAAGGCGAAAAGAACCCCGGCGAGGGGAGUGAAAAAGAACCUGAAACCGUGUACGUACAAGCAGUGGGAGCCUCUUUUAUGGGGUGACUGCGUACCUUUUGUAUAAUGGGUCAGCGACUUAUAUUCUGUAGCAAGGUUAACCGAAUAGGGGAGCCGAAGGGAAACCGAGUCUUAACUGGGCGUUAAGUUGCAGGGUAUAGACCCGAAACCCGGUGAUCUAGCCAUGGGCAGGUUGAAGGUUGGGUAACACUAACUGGAGGACCGAACCGACUAAUGUUGAAAAAUUAGCGGAUGACUUGUGGCUGGGGGUGAAAGGCCAAUCAAACCGGGAGAUAGCUGGUUCUCCCCGAAAGCUAUUUAGGUAGCGCCUCGUGAAUUCAUCUCCGGGGGUAGAGCACUGUUUCGGCAAGGGGGUCAUCCCGACUUACCAACCCGAUGCAAACUGCGAAUACCGGAGAAUGUUAUCACGGGAGACACACGGCGGGUGCUAACGUCCGUCGUGAAGAGGGAAACAACCCAGACCGCCAGCUAAGGUCCCAAAGUCAUGGUUAAGUGGGAAACGAUGUGGGAAGGCCCAGACAGCCAGGAUGUUGGCUUAGAAGCAGCCAUCAUUUAAAGAAAGCGUAAUAGCUCACUGGUCGAGUCGGCCUGCGCGGAAGAUGUAACGGGGCUAAACCAUGCACCGAAGCUGCGGCAGCGACACUGUGUGUUGUUGGGUAGGGGAGCGUUCUGUAAGCCUGUGAAGGUGUGCUGUGAGGCAUGCUGGAGGUAUCAGAAGUGCGAAUGCUGACAUAAGUAACGAUAAAGCGGGUGAAAAGCCCGCUCGCCGGAAGACCAAGGGUUCCUGUCCAACGUUAAUCGGGGCAGGGUGAGUCGACCCCUAAGGCGAGGCCGAAAGGCGUAGUCGAUGGGAAACAGGUUAAUAUUCCUGUACUUGGUGUUACUGCGAAGGGGGGACGGAGAAGGCUAUGUUGGCCGGGCGACGGUUGUCCCGGUUUAAGCGUGUAGGCUGAUUUUCCAGGCAAAUCCGGAAAACUAAGGCUGAGGCGUGAUGACGAGGCACUACGGUGCUGAAGCAACAAAUGCCCUGCUUCCAGGAAAAGCCUCUAAGCAUCAGGUAACAUCAAAUCGUACCCCAAACCGACACAGGUGGUCAGGUAGAGAAUACCAAGGCGCUUGAGAGAACUCGGGUGAAGGAACUAGGCAAAAUGGUGCCGUAACUUCGGGAGAAGGCACGCUGAUAUGUAGGUGAAGUCCCUCGCGGAUGGAGCUGAAAUCAGUCGAAGAUACCAGCUGGCUGCAACUGUUUAUUAAAAACACAGCACUGUGCAAACACGAAAGUGGACGUAUACGGUGUGACGCCUGCCCGGUGCCGGAAGGUUAAUUGAUGGGGUUAGCGGUAACGCGAAGCUCUUGAUCGAAGCCCCGGUAAACGGCGGCCGUAACUAUAACGGUCCUAAGGUAGCGAAAUUCCUUGUCGGGUAAGUUCCGACCUGCACGAAUGGCGUAAUGAUGGCCAGGCUGUCUCCACCCGAGACUCAGUGAAAUUGAACUCGCUGUGAAGAUGCAGUGUACCCGCGGCAAGACGGAAAGACCCCGUGAACCUUUACUAUAGCUUGACACUGAACAUUGAGCCUUGAUGUGUAGGAUAGGUGGGAGGCUUUGAAGUGUGGACGCCAGUCUGCAUGGAGCCGGCCUUGAAAUACCACCCUUUAAUGUUUGAUGUUCUAACGUUGGCCCCUGACCGGGGUUGCGGACAGUGUCUGGUGGGUAGUUUGACUGGGGCGGUCUCCUCCUAAAGAGUAACGGAGGAGCACGAAGGUUGGCUAAUCCUGGUCGGACAUCAGGAGGUUAGUGCAAUGGCAUAAGCCAGCUUGACUGCGAGCGUGACGGCGCGAGCAGGUGCGAAAGCAGGUCAUAGUGAUCCGGUGGUUCUGAAUGGAAGGGCCAUCGCUCAACGGAUAAAAGGUACUCCGGGGAUAACAGGCUGAUACCGCCCAAGAGUUCAUAUCGACGGCGGUGUUUGGCACCUCGAUGUCGGCUCAUCACAUCCUGGGGCUGAAGUAGGUCCCAAGGGUAUGGCUGUUCGCCAUUUAAAGUGGUACGCGAGCUGGGUUUAGAACGUCGUGAGACAGUUCGGUCCCUAUCUGCCGUGGGCGCUGGAGAACUGAGGGGGGCUGCUCCUAGUACGAGAGGACCGGAGUGGACGCAUCACUGGUGUUCGGGUUGUCAUGCCAAUGGCACUGCCCGGUAGCUAAAUGCGGAAGAGAUAAGUGCUGAAAGCAUCUAAGCACGAAACUUGCCCCGAGAUGAGUUCUCCCUGACUCCUUGAGGGUCCUGAAGGAACGUUGAAGACGACGACGUUGAUAGGCCGGGUGUGUAAGCGCAGCGAUGCGUUGAGCUAACCGGUACUAAUGAACCGUGAGGCUUAACCUU
rnacentral:rRNA from 1 species